UUGUAUCAGUUGUCUAAAAAUAGCACACGCAUUUUUCUCAAGCAGAUCGUGUAAUUUUGUACCCUAAAAUGAAAUGAUUGUAGAAAAAAUGGACAAACUUACUUUCAUGAUAUUAUAACAAUUUAUGCAACUAUAUAUGCUGGAAUUGAGCCAAGAAGAAUAAAAAAUUUGUACAACCGUCCUUUUUUGUGAAAUCCCUAUUUUAGUGCGAACUAUGUAGGUCAGUCGAAACUGGGACUGUCACGUUGCACUAAGCAAGUGACUGGAGAGCGUUUUUCUCGGUAAAUCUUGCAUUUCGGUUGAAAAAAAUUGAAUGUUCAGCUUUUCAAGUGUAUAUUUAUAGUAUACAAUGUGUCACUGUCAUAGUGAGAGUUGUUAUGGAAAAUUAUACGUGAAAAAAUGACAUCGGUGCUGGAGAUCAACCAAUGCUAUGGUUUUAGAUUUUAGAAUGGAAAAAUCUGCCUUUCAAGUUACAUAGCUUUGGGUUUGCCGACUUAAAGUGAAAUGUUGACAGCAUACCUAUCCCUGCCUAAGCUAUAGCAUGAGAAUUAUGGACUAGAUGGCAUGAAAUUAUGAAAAGAUACCAGUCAGACAAAGCAGAAGAUUCCCGAAUUUCAUAUCAGCUGACAAUAAGGGAAGAGGUGUUCUGGUCAAGACCAGGGAAAAUACGAUUUUGUGUGAACAGUGAUGGUGCUGUUGAUGCAGGUGUGACUGAACAAGAGAUGGUGUUUUGUAGAGCCUUGGAUAUUGUUUACCCUAGAAACCUUUCUCAUAGCAGACAAGUUCUGGAACAUUAUUUUCUUCAAGUAUUAUACAGGUUGGGCUUUUACCCAAAAGACUUCCAUUGAGAGUGGCCUGCCUUUAAAGAGCACAUAGGUGGCAUGUUUACAGUGAAUAAAAGUAAAGCUAUGUGUACUGAUUUGUUUCAAGGGUAGGAGACCAGACAAAGAUUAGAAUACAUACAAUAAUGCUAAUUGAAAUUCCCUUGUUCAGCCUGUCCACUUCUCAGGUGGAGAGAGGAUACAGUGCUCUCAAAAGAAUCGAAUCUGACUGGAGGUCAAGUUUGGGGAAUAUUAUGCUUAAGUUAACAAAAUUUUGACAGCAGUUUUAUAUGGGCCAAGUUUUUAUGAUCAUUUAGUCAAGGAAUCUAUCAACCACUGGGUGGCAGGGUGGCACUCUGGGAAAAUGGCCCAAUUUUGAACUUGAGAAUUGAUUUUGUUUUCUGAUUGUCAUAUCCAGGUAAAUGACCUGGCCAUUG